rnacentral:tRNA from 2 species
GGACUCGUGGGGUAGCCAGGAUAUCCUACCGGGCUUCGGACCCGGCGACCCGCGUUCAAAUCGCGGCGAGUCCG